rnacentral:rRNA from 1 species
UCCGUAGGCGGUGUGGCAAGUCGGUAGUGAAAUCUCUCGGCUUAACUGAGAGGCUGCUGCCGAAACUGCCAUGCUCGAGUGCGAGAGAGGCGAGUGGAAUUGCGGGUGUAGCGGUGAAAUGCGUAGAUAUCCGCAGGAACAUCCGAGGCGAAAGCGGCUCGCUGGAUCGCAACUGACGCUGAGGGACGAAAGCUAGGGGAGCAAACAGGAUUAGAUACCCUGGUAGUCCUAGCCCUAAACCAUCAGGACUUGGGGUUUGCCCUGUACGGGGCAAGUCCCGGAGCUAACGCGUUAAGUCCUGCGCCUGGGGAGUACGGUCGCAAGGUUGAA